CUCCUGACCCCCAAAUUCUCAACCAUGUCUGCCAAGUUAUUUUUGACAUAUUCAUAAGUAAUGAUCAUAGAUUCCAGAUAUUAGGACAAUGAUGUCUUUAGUGGGUGUAUUAUUCAUUCCACAAACAACCCUCAUCAUCCACACAAUGGUCUUCCCCUAAGGUAGAAUAAAAAUAUCACAAGGCAGAUUUACGAGGCGAUCGACCUAGAAAAAACCUGAGAAUCUAGGACUGUCUGAUGUGUGGAUGUCAAAUCCUGGGAGAUUCUGAGUCUCUGCUCUAUGUGGACUCUAUGUUGUGUAGCCAUUUGUGGAAGGCUUCUGUGAUUUUGUGACCUAGAGAAAAUGAAUCUCUGCUAAAAUCAAAUCUAAGAAAGAUUGGCAAAGGGAAUUUAAAGAUUUCCUAAAUUUUUGGAAUUUCCCUAUGCAUUAAAGCAUGAGAAGUGGCAAUAAUUCAAACCAAUGAUGCCCUCCAAGAAUGAGGAUUUUUCCAAUGCAUUAGGUUGGGUCCCCUCAGUGAGAAGGAUGCCAAAGAUUCGCAUGCAGGCAGUAUAUUUACAAAGUGCGGGAAACAAGCAAAUGAGCAAGGGAGGGGAGGAGGGAAAGGGAAAGUGAAAGGUGCCUCAGAAGGAGCCACCUCUGAGGAUGACGAGAGCUCAAGCCCACAUAGAAACACAGGAAAAAUGCCUCUGUUAUUCCACCUGAGAGGUGAGGGAGCUGCGGGAUGUGUACACCUCCCUUGUCAUCACUGAUUGACAGCCGUCCUAGGGGAUGCUAAUUCCAGGCCAUGAGGUCUGCCUCAUUUGCAGCCUGAGCUGCUUCCCCAGGUUCAGACAGAGCAGUGAAGGGGAGAAAGGGCCAUAGAGAGUCAGCUGAAGUAUAAUGACUAGAAUCCCCAAGGCGUAGUAACAAUGACUGCUAAAAUUAUGCACAAAGAAAAAGCGCAUUUGAAUCCAGAGAUGUAUCUCUCUGAAUCUGGAUAUAUGGAUCCUGGCAGCCUGUUCAGUAGCCAUUUCCCAGAAAUCCAGUUCUCUGGAAAAGCAGCAGGAGGUUUGUGCACAGGCUGCACUACCUUGGUCUGGCCACUGGUAGUCGUGCAUGAGAACUACUUCCUGGAGUAUUUCUCAGUCCACUGACACUGAUGUAAUUGGCUCCACUUCCCCUGCUGUUGAGCCAGGCCGACACGCCCUGGGCAAAGGCAUCUGUGUGAAGUAUUGAGGUUCAAAUCAGUGCUUAAGAUAUGUUUGGAGGCAAAAUACUUUUUCAUCUACAUGGGCAGUGUCUUGGCAGAAGAUGGAGAUUCUCUCUAAAUGGAUGUGAGACAGGGUGGCUGGCAUCUGGGUCAGGAUGAUGCCCUGGUGCAUGGCAAGAACAUGCAUUGGGCAGCAGCUGCCCUCGCUAAGCAGAGAGGUUCACUGACCUGGCUUUUCCCCCCUCACCUGCUCUCCAGAAAGCCAGACUCUAGGGCAGAUGCUCCUGAGACCCCAGGAACAGGCUGGUGGGGAGCGCAGCUCAGAGCAUUACUCAAGGGAUGUGGCCUUUGUCAUCCUACUUUGAAACAAUUGAUUAUUUGAGCCUACAUUGAUAGAGGGCUUCAAGUUGAUUUUAAUCCUGGCUCCUAUAGUCCGCGAGUGAAACAGAGAUUUUGAAAUAAUGAGACCUGGUAUUACUAGUCAGCUCUCCAUGCUGGAGAACCAUAAGAAAUUAUACCAAAGGCAGGAAAGGGGAUAGAAUAUGGGGAUCAUCACGCCAAGAAUAAGGUGCAGCCCAUUUAGCCCCUGGGUCUUAAAGAGACCCAUAGCUCUGGAUAAUGGCAGAUCUAUGCGUGACACAUUAUCAUCUUUGUGCAUCUUCAGAGAAUUGUUUUUCCUUUUACUCCUAGGAACAAUGUCUUAAGUUUGUUAGUAAAUUCUAUUGAAUUUAUUAAAGAUGCUUCUGAUAAAUUCUUUUUAUAUUCAUUUCAAAAAAGAAGCAAUUUCACACUGACAGAGACAUUGUUAUUAUAGCACUAAAUACUUUUACACUCAUCAAAUUCCUUUGAGACUAACUGAAAUUUCUGACAGCCCCACACUCUAUAACUUUAUUGUAAAUUUUCUGCCAAAAAUGAUGCUUUCCUAUACACUCUUAAUACAAGUAUAAAUAUAUUAUUUAAUCUAGUCUUAGGUUGAUUUAAAAUUUUGAAAAUUCACUCCAAAAAUAUGUUCUGUAACCAUAUGGCCACCAAUGAGAAGUGUACUCUUUCAAGGUAAAUCUGUGCUGCCCUGGUCUGACCUGGGACUCUGGGGAUACUGCGCCCGUGUGCUGAGUUACUGAGAUGAGCCAGCCCUGCAGCUGUGCUCAGCCUGCCCCAUCCCCUGCUGAUUUGCCUGUUCCUAGAGCACAGCCCCCUGCCCUGAAGACUUCUUAUAGGCUGGCCACACCUGGUGCAGGAGUCAGCCCCAGUCAGGACACAGCACGGACGUGAGGGCCCCCACUCAGCUCCUGGGGCUCCUGGGGCUCCUGGGGCUCUGGCUGCCAGGUGCCAGAUGUGACAUCCAGAUGACCCAGUCUCCAUCCUCCCUGUCUGCAUCUGUAGGAGGCAGAGUCACCAUCACUUGCCGGGCGAGUCAGGGCAUUAGCAAUAAUUUAAAUUGGUAUCAGCAGAAACCAAGGAAAACUCCUAAGCUCCUGAUCUAUGCUGCAUCCAGUCUGCAAAGUGGGAUUCCCUCUCGGUUCAGUGACAGUGGAUCUGGGACAGAUUACACUCUCACCAUCAGCAGCCUGCAGCCUGAAGAUUUUGCAACUUAUUACUGUCAACAGAGUGACAGUAACCCUCCCACAGUGUUACAAGUCAUAACAUAAACCCCAAGGAAGCAGAUGUGUGAGGCUGGGCUGCCCCAAUGCUCCUUCUGGUGCCUCUAUCUGCUGAGGGAAGUUCUCAAACUCAGUCAGGUUUGGAAAGUCAUCGGGAGAUUUUCCUAGAGGAGGCCAGGGAGGUUCCUCUGAACGCUAAGCCUCUUUCGCCCUCAUCCCCAACAGAAAAGACGUGACAAUGCCUGUCCUGACUGAAUAAAGAAGAGAGAUAAGUCCAGCUGAGGAGUCUGUGUUAUGGGAUAAUCGGAAUUUGUACAGCAAAAGAGAAGCUAUUCUCAGUAUUUCAAGGAGAAAUUAUUCAAGUUGAAUAAAUUAGAGUCUAAACCACA
rnacentral:lncRNA from 1 species